GAUAGAUGGAUAACCAGUGCAUUCGUUAAAUUGGAAUUACAUUGAUCCUAAGCAAGAGCCAAAUAAAACGAUAACAUAAAGUCAAAUACAUUUGUUUAAUCAGUCAAGCAUCGGAGUCACAAUACACAGAUCUGUGGGAUCACAAAGCACGCAGAGACUAAGUUUCCCUAGCAACAGACAAAAAUCCGGAGCCGGUUCACGUAUCUCUACACUGUCAGACCUUGUGAGCCCCGAUCUGUUCUUCCCCUCAUCUCUUAUACUUUCUUUCUUGGGCCCCCCUCUUCUUCUCCAGCACAGGGAUUGUUAUUUUCAC